rnacentral:rRNA from 1 species
UACGUAGGUGGCAAGCGUUGUCCGGAAUUAUUGGGCGUAAAGCGCACGUAGGCGGCUUUUCAAGUCCCAUGUGAAAUCCCACGGCUUAACCGUGGAAGUGCAUGGGAAACUGGAAGCUUGAGUACUUAAGAGGAUCGCGGAAUUCCCGGUGUAGAGGUGAAAUUCGUAGAUAUCGGGAGGAACACCAGUGGCGAAGGCGGCGAUCUGGGAAGAUACUGACGCUGAGGUGCGAAAGCGUGGGGAGCAAACAGG